UACGUAGGGGGCAAGCGUUGUCCGGAAUCAUUGGGCGUAAAGCGCGUGUAGGCGGUUCAGUAAGUCUGCUGUGAAAGUCCAGGGCUCAACCCUGGGAUGCCGGUGGAUACUGCUGGACUAGAGUGCGGAAGAGGCGAGUGGAAUUCCCGGUGUAGCGGUGAAAUGCGCAGAUAUCGGGAGGAACACCAAUAGCGAAGGCAGCUCGCUGGGACGGUACUGACGCUAAGGCGCGAAAGCGUGGGGAGCGAACAGG
rnacentral:rRNA from 1 species